GGCGUGCCUAAUACAUGCAAGUAGAACGCUGAAGAGAGGAGCUUGCUCUUCUUGGAUGAGUUGCGAACGGGUGAGUAACGCGUAGGUAACCUGCCUUGUAGCGGGGGAUAACUAUUGGAAACGAUAGCUAAUACCGCAUAACAAUGGAUGACACAUGUCAUUUAUUUGAAAGGGGCAAAUGCUCCACUACAAGAUGGACCUGCGUUGUAUUAGCUAGUAGGUGAGGUAACGGCUCACCUAGGCGACGAUACAUAGCCGACCUGAGAGGGUGAUCGGCCACACUGGGACUGAGACACGGCCCAGACUCCUACGGGAGGCAGCAGUAGGGAAUCUUCGGCAAUGGGGGCAACCCUGACCGAGCAACGCCGCGUGAGUGAAGAAGGUUUUCGGAUCGUAAAGCUCUGUUGUAAGUCAAGAACGAGUGUGAGAGUGGAAAGUUCACACUGUGACGGUAGCUUACCAGAAAGGGACGGCUAACUACGUGCCAGCAGCCGCGGUAAUACGUAGGUCCCGAGCGUUGUCCGGAUUUAUUGGGCGUAAAGCGAGCGCAGGCGGUUUGAUAAGUCUGAAGUUAAAGGCUGUGGCUCAACCAUAGUUCGCUUUGGAAACUGUCAAACUUGAGUGCAGAAGGGGAGAGUGGAAUUCCAUGUGUAGCGGUGAAAUGCGUAGAUAUAUGGAGGAACACCGGUGGCGAAAGCGGCUCUCUGGUCUGUAACUGACGCUGAGGCUCGAAAGCGUGGGGAGCGAACAGGAUUAGAUACCCUGGUAGUCCACGCCGUAAACGAUGAGUGCUAGGUGUUGGAUCCUUUCCGGGAUUCAGCGCCGCAGCUAACGCAUUAAGCACUCCGCCUGGGGAGUACGACCGCAAGGUUGAAACUCAAAGGAAUUGACGGGGGCCCGCACAAGCGGUGGAGCAUGUGGUUUAAUUCGAAGCAACGCGAAGAACCUUACCAGGUCUUGACAUCCCGAUGCUAUUUCUAGAGAUAGAAAGUUACUUCGGUACAUCGGUGACAGGUGGUGCGUGGUUGUCGUCAGCUCGUGUCGUGAGAUGUUGGGUUAAGUCCCGCAACGAGCGCAACCCCUAUUGUUAGUUGCCAUCAUUCAGUUGGGCACUCUAGCGAGACUGCCGGUAAUAAACCGGAGGAAGGUGGGGAUGACGUCAAAUCAUCAUGCCCCUUAUGACCUGGGCUACACACGUGCUACAAUGGUUGGUACAACGAGUUGCGAGUCGGUGACGGCAAGCUAAUCUCUUAAAGCCAAUCUCAGUUCGGAUUGUAGGCUGCAACUCGCCUACAUGAAGUCGGAAUCGCUAGUAAUCGCGGAUCAGCACGCCGCGGUGAAUACGUUCCCGGGCCUUGUACACACCGCCCGUCACACCACGAGAGUUUGUAACACCCGAAGUCGGUGAGGCAACCUUUUGGAGCCAGCCGCCUAAGGUGGGAUAGAUGAUUGGGGUG
rnacentral:rRNA from 1 species